rnacentral:rRNA from 1 species
GAUGAACGCUGGCGGCGUGCUUAACACAUGCAAGUCGAACGGAAAGGCCAUGCUUUUGUGGGGUUCUCGUGUGGCGAACGGGGGAGUAACACGUGUGUAACCUGCCCCUGACUGUGGGAGAACAUCUGGAAACAGGGGCUAAUACCGCAUAUGAGCUCCUGCUGCACGGUGUGGGGUGGAUAGUUGCGGCGGUUGGGGAUGUACUCGCGGCUUAGCAGCUUGUUUGUGGGGUGGUGGCUUACCCAGUCUCUGACGGGUAGGCGGCAUUGGAGGGUGACCAGCGACAUUGGGACUGAGGGACGGCCCAGAGUGCUACGGGGGACAGCAGGGGGGAAUAUUGCACAAUGGGCGGGAGCCUGAUGAGGAAACGCCGCGUGCGGGAAGACGGUCUUCGGGUUGUAAAACGCUUUCGCCUGUGACGAAGCGUGAGUGACGGUAAUCGGUAAAGAAGCACCGGCUAACUACGUG